GAAUAUUUACUCUGUGCGGAGUCAUUAUCGCGUUCUUUGAUUGCUCGCAAAGCGUACGCGCGAGAGCCACUUUGUCGAAGUACCUACCUCGUUAUAAUGCGACCAUAAUCGGGCGAAAUCAAGUUGUUAGCUUGCAAUUGAGUUUUGUGCAGUCGAGCCUCUCGACGGUGAACUUCAUUUUCAACAUACACCGACGAUUCCAGCUGUUCCGUGCGUGGAAGUACUCGGUAGGAUAGUCGCUACGUUUGUACACGAGCCGAGCAACGACGAAGGGACGAAGAGGGAAAAAAUUAUGUUGGAAACAGUUAAGAGCCGUCAAGUUAUUCAGCAACGUUGUGAGGGGCUGGGAAAAAGAGUUGCGAGAAAGAUCAAACCAUGACGGGGAACGGGGAACAAAAGCACGAGGGAAGGCAAUAUUCAUGGCAUGGUACUCCAUCGAACACUGCAAUCGAGAGAAACACGUCUACAAUUGCCAUUUCAUACGAAAAUUCCGCCACAGAGGCUCAGAUUUUUCACCGAAAAAAUACAAGCUGAUUCUAAUGUGAAAUAUGACCGAAGACAACACCGGCGAUUGAGCGGGUAUCUCAUGACAUCGUCGAACUACUGGGGGAUCACUGCUGCGAUAGUGGCGUGCCAGGGUACAUCCAAUUUGAGG